UACGUAGGGCGCGAGCGUUAUCCGGAAUUACUGGGCGUAAAGAGCUCGUAGGUGGUUUGUCGCGUUGUCCGUGAAAACUCACAGCUUAACUGUGGGCGUGCGGGCGAUACGGGCAGACUGGAGUACUGCAGGGGAGACUGGAAUUCCUGGUGUAGCGGUGGAAUGCGCAGAUAUCAGGAGGAACACCGGUGGCGAAGGCGGGUCUCUGGGCAGUAACUGACGCUGAGGCACGAAGGCCAGGGGAGCAAACGGG
rnacentral:rRNA from 1 species